rnacentral:rRNA from 1 species
UGAGCAAUCUGCCCUUCUCAUCGGAAUAAGCGUUGGAAACGACGUCUAAUGCCGAAUACGACCUCCUUUCGCAUGAUCGGAGGUGGAAAGCUCCGGCGGAGAAGGAUGAGCUCGCGGCCUAUCAGCUAGUUGGUGUGGGUAACGCCCACCAAGGCGACGACGGGUAGCCGGCCUGAGAGGGUGACCGGCCACACUGGGACUGAGACACGGCCCAGACUCCUACGGGAGGNAGCG